CCUGCAAUGGGGAUAAGAUUUAUAACUGCUUUCCCUGACAGGCUCCUUUCUAACUCCUCCUUCCUCCACAGGAGAAUCAGAUGGAAUAGAAGUUUCCACUGGAACCAGAUUCUUCCCUCUGUUCAAAUUACGGCUCUUGCAUGGCUAUUUGGAAUCACGGGCACACAGGUUGAAAAGAAAAAAAGAAAAGAAAAAAGAACCCUCUUUUAAACUGAAGUUAGCAGCAGAACUCAUGUUUCUCCUUCUUGCUGAUCACCUCUCAGCCUCCCUCCAGCUUGCUGAACAUCCUUCAUUUUCUUGCCUCCUGCACAAGCUCAACUGCACAAAAUUCAGCCUGAAAAGUAUUCCUGGAGGUAGAUGAUGAAAUGAAAUGGGCUUGAUAUUAGUUACCUCUUGAAAAAGAUCUUUAAAGAGGUUUCCAAACUAUGCAAGAGGAAAAAAAGUUAACGCUAUAAUAAUUCUCUGAAAAGAAUACUGACAGAAGCUGUAAGGAUAGCUUGAAGGAAUACUGCAGUGCCAUAACAUCUUCCAUCAGAGAUCUGCACAGUGCUUUUUAAACAUUAAUGCAUUAUGCCUCAAAACACCCUUCUGAGUGCCUAAAGGAGGAACUGAGAUAGGUGAACAGGAUCAACAGAGGUGAAAUGACUAUUAAUACACAUGAGAGUUCUCAGCAAGGAAGAGAGGUAAAACCUCUUCCUAAACAUGGAGAAAGGAUGAAAAGUCCUGUUUGAAGAGGAAAAAAAGAGAUCAGCCUUUGGAACACUUUCUAGGCUUAGGCAAAAGGACAAGGAAAUUAUGUAGGACUAUUUCCAGAAAGAAGGAAAUGAAACCUGAGGACAGACAGUUCCAAAGAGAAAUUUUCCAUCAACUCAGUAAAAGAUGACAACAAAGUUGAACCAACAACUGGCGAUUACACCUGUGCCUGUACUCUUCGCCCUAAUCAAGGGCAAAUCAAGACAGUAUAACUAACUGGACUGUCCCUUGUUCUCCUACUUUUUAUUUCCACUGCUCAGACAUUUCAUCUUCUGCACCAUGAAAGAAAGGAGAAUGUGAUAUCUACAAAGUACACUUUAUGCCCUUAUCCCACUAUUGUCUCUGUUCUGGUAAUUUUUUCUUUGGCUUGGGUAUUGCAGCUGAUCUGCACAUAAGUGUUUGCAUUAUAAAGUAGAUUCUGGGAAAGAUUCUCUAUAAUUAGCAGAUCAAUUAUACUGAUCUUCAAUACUAAGACAACAAUAAAUCAUUCCUUGAUAAACUCUCUUAGCAUAACUAAUACAAAUCAUUAGCAAACCAUGAGAGAGUAAAUGCAUAAAUGUAUAAUUCUGUUAUCACAAAGUACUUCAAAGCAGCAGUUGCUGGUAAAGGCCCGAUGAACACGCUACUCUAAAAUGACACCACACAGAAAUUCAACUGAAUAAGAAAGUUUAUUAUUAUUGUAUCUUAUUCACUUAAGGUGCCUAUUAAUCAUUAUUAAUUUAAUAAGGAGGAGCCACCACUAAAAUAGAAAUCUCUAAGCUAAAGCAAAGGUGCUGUUUAGUUUGAACUGAAAUGCAUGGCCUAUCCACACUAACAUUGGGACUGUGCCCCCAAUUGUUCUACUAUGACUAGGAAGUGCUAAAAAAGGUAAGAGCCCAAGGUGCAACAGCUUGUCUGACUGCCUUGACUGCUGAAAGUCCAGCUGCCUCCUCACUCAAUAGAACCUUAAAGACCUCAUCUGUGCUUUCAUAUGUAUUCUAUAAAAUGCAGUAAACAGGUAUGAUAAUCACUACGUGACAUUCUAGUGUUAUUGUUGGCUGACUGAUGUCACAGGUACCUGGUACUUUGCUUUCAGUAUGCUUAAACCACUCUACUGCUAUGGUUUACUGAGUUAUGUAGUUAUUACUUAAAUGCACUCCUUGGAUGACUAAGGUAUCUCACAGUCUCUGGCUUAAUUCUCAACAGGCAUACAAAAUAUAAACUUUCUCUUGUUACUUACUUCAACGUGCAUGGAAAAACUGUAGAUUACAAAAUCAUCUUUUCUGUCCUAACCUCUUUUUUAAAUUACAGAAAUGUUAACUGGAUUAUAUUACAAACAUCUCAUUUCCUGUGAGCUCACUUCAAAUCAGUUUUUCUAACUAAAUAAAGAGAAAAAACAAUGAAUGGAAUAAAAAAUAGAAAGCCAGAAGGGACCAUUGUAACAUUUUAGUCUGACUUUCUGCUUACCACAGGCCAGAGGCCACAGGGUUUUCCUGAAUAUAUUCCUGCUAAAAAGAGUGUCUUUUGUAAAUAAAAACAUCUAAUCUUGAUUUUAAAAUUGCCAGUGAUGAAGAAUCCACAACAACUCUUGGUAUGUCAUUCCCAUGGUUAAAUACUUUCGUUGUUAACAUUUGGAGUCUUAUUAUGCAAUCAGAUGCGUCUGGCUCCAACUUCCAGCUUUUAGAUUUUGUUAUAUCUCUGUCUGUGAGAACAGCCUGGUAUUAUUAAAGUUCUGUUUCCCAUUGGGAUAUCAAAAGACUGUGAUAGACCCCUUUAAAAGUUUCUCUUUGACAUAUUAAACUAAUUCAGCUUGUGGGGUCUUUCACUCCAUAGCAAGUUUUCUUUAAUCAUGGUGCUCCUCUGAACCAUUUCUAGUGACUCCAUGUCCUUCCUGAGCUGUGGACAGCAAAACUAGACAAACUAUUCUAGAAGUGGCUGCACCGGUUCUAAUAUUAUAAAAGCCCAAGUCUGCCUGUCUGUCCAUAAUGCUUUACUCGCACUCUGAUUGGCUGAUGCAAACAGCCAAUCAGAGUGCUCCAGGAGUGGGGAGCGUUGCCAUGAUUCCAAAGCUGCACCAAGGACCGGACAGAGGGUGGGGGAGCCAAGUGGCCUUGGUUCCCCACCCUGCUCCCUGCAAGAGGUAGAAGAGCGGCAGCAUGGGGUGUUAGGUGGCAGCACACCAUCCCAGCCGCCCCCCCUGCCCCCUUCAUUCUUGAUGGGCAAUUGGCUAGUAGCAAACAAAAAAGUAUAAGAACCUCUUCAACUUAUUAUUCUCUUUUUGGCCACAGUAUCAGCCUGGGAAGGCAUUUUCAGUUGAUUAUUCAAGUCUUUCACAGCAUCAUUGCUUCUCAGGAUAGACUCAGUAUCCUUACCUUAUCCCAUAAGCGUCUGCAUUUUUGUAUCUUGAUUUAUAAGUGAACAUGACUUAAAUGACACAGGAUUAAAAAAGACUGCACAUAGACCCCAUUUUCUUCAACUCCUUUGUACAGAACUUGAUUUUUAUUUGAAGUUUCAAUUUCCAGAAAUAACUGCUGGCAGAUUAUAUAGCACUUAGGGGUGGGAUUUGUCAAGAAUGCUCCAUGUUGAAUUAACUCUACCCAUACUGCCUUUCAUGGGAGCACAAACAGGUCACUGCUGUGUGCUCUUGAGAGUAUUGUAACUAGAUUUGCAACCAUUUGACUGCAUAUGCAAAUCUACAAAUUCUGCAGUUAUUUCUAGACAUAAAA